rnacentral:rRNA from 1 species
UGGGGAGGUGCCUGCAUCCUAUCAGCUUGUUGGCGGGGUAAAUGCCCACCAAGGCUAUGACGGGUAGGGGCUCUGAGAGGAGAGACCCCCACAAUGGGACUGAGACACGGCCCAUACUCCUACGGGAGGCAGCAACUGGGAAUAUUGCGCAAUGGACGAAAGUCUGACGCAGCGACGCCGCGUGAACGAAGAAGGCCUUCGGGUUGUAAAGUUCACAAGCAGGGGAGGAAAUCUUGACUUAACCCUGCGUAAGCCUUGACUAACUACGUGCCAGCAGUCGCGGUGAUACGUAGAAGGCAAGCGUUAUCCGGAUUUAUUGGGCGUAAAGGGCAUGUAGGCGGGAGAAUAAGUCUUUCAUUAAAUCCUUUGGCUUAACCAAAGAAUUGUGCGAGAUACUGUUCUUCUUGAGGGAGACAGGGGCAGAUGGAACUUGCGGUGUAGGGGUGAAAUCCGUUGAUAUCGCAAGGAACACCAAUGGCGAAGGCAGUCUGCUGGGUCUCAUCUGACGCUGAAAUGCGAAAGCGUGGGGAGCGAACGGGAUUAGAUACCCCGGUAGUCCACGCUGUAAACUAUGUCGACUAGGUCUCUGAGAGUAUCGACCCUCUGGGGACCGAAGCUAACGCGUUAAGUCGACCGCCUGGGAAGUACGGCCGCAAGGCUAAAACUCAAAGGAAUAGACGGGGACCCGCACAAGCGGUGGAGCGUGAGGUUUAAUUCGACGACAAGCGUAGAACCUUACCAAGGCUUGACAUCCCUCGAAUCUGCCAGAAAUGGCGGAGUGCCUUCGGGAACGAGGUGACAGGUGUUGCAUGGUUGUCGUCAGCUCGUGUCGUGAGAUGUACCGUUAAGUCGGAUAACGAGCGCAACCCUUACCUGAAGUUAUAUGUGUCUUCGGGAACUGCCCCAGUUAAUGGGGAGGAAGGUGAGGAUGACGUCAAAUCAGCAUGACUCUUACGCCUUGGGCCACACUCGCGCUACAAUGGAGCCGACAAAGAGUUGCCACAUCGCAAGAUGGAGCUAAUCUCAAAACGGCCCCUCAGUUCA